GAAGGUCCGGGCGUUAUCCGGAUUUAUUGGGUUUAAAGGGAGCGUAGGCCGGAGAUUAAGCGUGUUGUGAAAUGUAGACGCUCAACGUCUGCACUGCAGCGCGAACUGGUUUCCUUGAGUACGCACAAAGUGGGCGGAAUUUGUGGUGUAGCGGUGAAAUGCUUAGAUAUCACGAAGAACUCCGAUUGCGAAGGCAGCAUACGGCAGCGCUACUGACGCUGAAGCUCGAAAGCGCGGGUAUC
rnacentral:rRNA from 1 species